GGCAGUCGCAAAAUCAUAUCAUUUAAAAAAGAUACUGCAUUCAAAAAGGUCACUUGGUAUACUGUCCAUUGAUAUAAUAGUACUGUAUUUGUGCAGGUUCUCUUCUUGUACUUCUCCCUCCCCUCUUUCUUUCUAUUUCUCUCCAUCGCUCUUUUCUCCUCGACAUCCUUAAUCAAAUAGGCACAGUAACCGUCAUUAUCUUCAUCAAACAGAAACCUUUUUACUAAAUAUUCAAGUUGCUCUUGAGAACAGUGUAUUUCUUGAUAAAUGCCAUGUUGGGUUAAUGUGCACGUUCGUCCCUCCUCUUCACUCUCUUCACUCUCUUAAAAACUCUUCAGGUUUUUCCAACUGAGCGAUUCUGAGGCGGGCGCAAUCGCACUAGAGGGGAAGUCAAGUCGUGCUGGACUGGCGCGAUAUCCUCGCACGGUUUUACAACUAAAAGAAGACCUGCCCCGCGUUUAAUCAUGCUUUUAAAUGAUGGAAUAUGCUGAUUUUAAAAGUUGACCAGGGAUUUCUAGUUGUGGGGUGUUUGCGAGGCAUGGCUUUCCUUUUAACUUGCUUGUUUCUGUCUUGUGCAAGCAGUGUUUGGGGAAAUCAGCACGGUGAUACCAAUAUCUAUUUGGAUAACAUCACGCGCAUAUUGGAUAGAUUACUGGAUGGCUAUGACAACAGGCUGCGACCUGGAUUUGGAGGUCCAGUUACAGAGGUCAAAACUGACAUCUUUGUCACCAGCUUUGGACCUGUUUCAGAUGUUGAGAUGGAAUACACCAUGGACGUGUUCUUUCGUCAGACAUGGAUCGAUGAACGGCUAAAAUUCGAAGGCCCCAUCGAGAUCCUGCGGCUCAACAACCUGAUGGUCAGCAAGAUAUGGACGCCGGACACCUUUUUCCGGAAUGGCAAGAGGUCGAUCUCUCACAACAUGACCACCCCCAACAAGCUGUUCCGCAUCAUGCAGAACGGAACUAUCCUCUACACCAUGAGAUUAACUAUAAAUGCAGAGUGUCCCAUGCGUCUGAUGAACUUCCCAAUGGACGGCCAUGCCUGCCCGCUCAAGUUUGGGAGUUAUGCUUACCCCAUCAGCGAGAUUGUGUACACUUGGAAGAAGGGUCCUCUGUCCUCUGUGGAGGUGCCACAGGAAUCAUCCAGUUUGCUGCAGUACGACCUCAUCGGUCAGACAGUGUCAAGCGAGAGGCUGAAGUCCAACACAGGUGAAUAUGUCAUCAUGACAGUCCACUUCCACCUGCAAAGGAAAAUGGGCUUCUUCCUGAUUCAGACUUACAUUCCCUGUAUUAUGACUGUCAUCCUGGCCCAAGUCUCUUUCUGGAUUAAUAAGGAAUCAGUUCCAGCUCGGACUGUGUUUGGUAUCACCACUGUCUUGACCAUGACAACACUCAGUAUCAGCGCUCGCCACUCCCUCCCCAAAGUUUCUUAUGCCACAGCCAUGGAUUGGUUCAUCGCCGUUUGCUUUGCCUUUGUCUUCUCCGCUCUGAUUGAGUUUGCAGCCGUCAACUACUUCUCCACUCUGCAGGCCAACCGGGAGCUGAGGAAGGCAGCAGCCAUGAAAGUGGCAGCCCAGGAGUCAGCAGCUGCAUCUGCAGCUGCAGCUGCAGCUCCAGCCACGGGGAAUGACGGAGAGGUUUCCUCAGUUGAUGCCAGUAGUGUGCUAAAGAAGAGGAUGAACUCUGCCCCGCUGUUUGACCGUCCUGCCAAAACAUUUCCCAACCCACCUGUCAAUGCCCAAGCCUUCCUGCAGCAGGGUUCAGCUGUACCGGCCAACAACGUUCUGACUGGCACCAGCAUCAUCGACAAAUACUCCCGCAUCCUCUUCCCACUUUCAUUUGGCGCCUUCAACCUGGUCUACUGGAUCGUCUAUCUCACUAAGGACACGAUGGAGAUGUCCAGGUGAACAGAUGGCAUGGUUGUUACCAAUAAUUCCAGCACCUUCUCACUGAAAAUUAUUUGGGGAUAGCGUUUAAGCCAAGAGUUCGUCUUCCUGGGAAUCACACUCGCACACACACUUUCAUACACUUGCAUGGACACACACAUAUACACAAUAAAUAGAUGACAGACGCUUGCCAAGCACUCUUUUAAACUGCCUCAGUGCAUUGUAUGUCUUUUUAAAUACUCCCCUGGAAAGUGAGUGUUUUGAGAGCAGCUGUACCAGCUCCUAUUGCCAACUUGACCCAUGAGCUCACAGCCUGUAGGCCCCAGGCUCUGGAACCAUUUCAAAUGGUACAAUAUAUCUCUGUGUCUCUUUCG